CCCCUGGUGGUCUAGUGGUUAGGAUGCAGCACUCUCACCACCACGGCCCGGGUUCGAUUCCCAGUCAGGGGA
rnacentral:tRNA from 1 species